UACAGAGGGGGCAAGCGUUAUUCGGAAUUAUUGGGCGUAAAGGGCGCGUAGGCGGCUUUUCAAGUGACGGGUGAAAUCCCUCGGCUUAACCGAGGAACUGCCUGUCAGACUGGAAGGCUUGAGACCGGGAGAGGUGAGUGGAAUUCCCAGUGUAGCGGUGAAAUGCGUAGAUAUUGGGAGGAACACCAGUGGCGAAGGCGGCUCACUGGCCCGAUACUGACGCUGAGGCACGAAAGCGUGGGGAGCAAACAGG
rnacentral:rRNA from 1 species